GUGGGGAAUAUUGGACAAUGGGGGGAACCCUGAUCCAGCCAUGCCGCGUGUGUGAAGAAGGCCUUUUGGUUGUAAAGCACUUUAAGCGAGGAGGAGGCUACUCUAGUUAAUACCUAGAGAUAGUGGACGUUACUCGCAGAAUAAGCACCGGCUAACUCUGUGCCAGCAGCCGCGGUAAUACAGAGGGUGCAAGCGUUAAUCGGAUUUACUGGGCGUAAAGCGCGCGUAGGUGGCCAAUUAAGUCAAAUGUGAAAUCCCCGAGCUUAACUUGGGAAUUGCAUUCGAUACUGGUUGGCUAGAGUAUGGGAGAGGAUGGUAGAAUUCCAGGUGUAGCGGUGAAAUGCGUAGAGAUCUGGAGGAAUACCGAUGGCGAAGGCAGCCAUCUGGCCUAAUACUGACACUGAGGUGCGAAAGCAUGGGGAGCAAACAGGAUUAGAUACCCUUGUAGUCC
rnacentral:rRNA from 1 species